AGAUAAAUGUCGGUGAUCUUAGACUUUGUACAAAAAAAUUACAUUAUAUAAGUGAGAAAGUAUAUUAGAAAGAUAUUUUAUUUAUUUUCGUACGUAAUAUGAUAUUUCGCGAUAAAUUGGUUACCAUAUAUUUUCUAUUGUCCUACAGGAAAAUACAGAAACAUAUUUUUCUAUAUUUUUAUCUCAAUUUUAUUUUAUCUAAUAGCAUUUGAUAAGUCUCAAUACCAAACUAAGUCUUAAACAUAUUUAUCACCAAAUUUUUAUAGAAAUGGUGCUUGAACUGUGAAUCAUUUUAAAAUAACUAUUUAAUUUUUUAAAAUUUUAAUUUUAUUAUGAGAUACUUUUAGCUUGUUUUAUUGGAGUGAGUCAACAACAUUUUAAUAAAUUUAUAGUUAUAAAUAUUAUACAAAAUAUAUUACUUAAAUAUGUAAAGAUAAGUAAUGAGAUAAAUAUUGUUAACUAACUCAAAUCCGAUAAAUUAAAAUUUUUAAAAAAUCUAAAUAAUCAAAUUAAAAUAAUUUAUAAUUUA
rnacentral:lncRNA from 1 species